rnacentral:tRNA from 3 species
AGCCUCGAGGUGUCUGACAUAUAAGAAUGCAAAUCUUAAGUAGCAGAUUAGCGUCUGCCGGGGCUU